UACGAAGGGGGCUAGCGUUGCUCGGAAUCACUGGGCGUAAAGGCGCACGUAGGCGGUCUUUUAAGUCAGGGGUGAAAUCCUGGAGCUCAACUCCAGAACUGCCUUUGAUACUGAGAGCUUGAGUCCGGGAGAGGUGAGUGGAACUGCGAGUGUAGAGGUGAAAUUCGUAGAUAUUCGCAAGAACACCAGUGGCGAAGGCGGCUCACUGGCCCGGUACUGACGCUGAGGUGACGAAGCGGUGGGAGCAAACAGG
rnacentral:rRNA from 1 species